rnacentral:rRNA from 1 species
AGUGAACGCUGGCGGUAGGCCUAACACAUGCAAGUCGAACGGCAGCACAGUAAGAGCUUGCUCUUACGGGUGGCGAGUGGCGGACGGGUGAGGAAUACAUCGGAAUCUACUUUUUCGUGGGGGAUAACGUAGGGAAACUUACGCUAAUACCGCAUACGACCUACGGGUGAAAGCAGGGGAUCUUCGGACCUUGCGCGAUUGAAUGAGCCGAUGUCGGAUUAGCUAGUUGGCGGGGUAAAGGCCCACCAAGGCGACGAUCCGUAGCUGGUCUGAGAGGAUGGUGAGCGACAGUGGAACUGAGACACGGUCCAGACGCCUACGGGAGGCAGCGGUGGGGAAGAUUGGACAAUGGGCGCAAGCCUGAUCCAGCCAUACAGCGUGGGUGAAGAAGGCCUGCGGGUGGUAAAGCCCUUUUGUUGGGAAAGAAAAGCAGCAGGUUAAUACCCCGCUGUUCGGACGGUACCCAAAGAAUAAGCACCGGCUAACUUGGU